GAGCAAACUCAACUACGGGUGAAAUCCCUCUUCAAUACCUUCAUUUUGGCGGUGGUUUCACCUCGAUUGACCUCCUGAAACUGAAAUGGUUCACAGAUCAAAAUCUGGUCAGAUCUGACUUUGUCGAAUUAAACCAGGAGCUUGGGAACGAAUUUUUGAAUGAAACAAAUUGGGGUAUGUUUGGUUUAUACCAUGGUGAUAACCGAGAGAGGCAAUUGCUAAGUUGUGAUACUCUCAUACCUUUACUAGAUGCGAACAAUUCCGGAGAAGAAGAAGAAGUGGAAUCGGACGAGGAUUUUAUUUAUGUUGUUGGGAUUCUUAUAUUGAUGGAGUUGAAGAAGUCCAGGGACAAAUAAGCCAAGGCAAGCCAUCUUUUGAUCUCUUAUUCGGUGUCUAGUUGGAUGUCAUUUGUUGAUAUCCAAAGCACCUUGGUUCUAUGUGUGUUGUUCUCCUUAUUAUUGUCAUCUAUGUAUGGUUGCUAGUGGAGUAC